rnacentral:lncRNA from 1 species
GGACGCCAUCGGCGGCGGCGCUCAGACCACCGCGGAUAAAGAAGAGGUGAGUCCUCACCGUCCCUUUUCCCCCACUUGAUUUUUUGCGUUCUUUUUUUUGGGUUUCCGUUUGGGUUCUGAACUCUCGUGGCUCUUUUCUUGUGCCUCAACCUUCUUUCUUCCAGUUCCUCGUGUGAUUUGUUUGACCUGUGCUGUUCUUGCCCGUGUGAUGAUUCUCGCAACGAUUUCUUCUACGAAACCUGAAAAAAAUUCCUUUUUUUGACUGAAAAUUCCACCUUGAUUCCAUGUGUGUAUGGAGGUGUGCUUGCAUGAACCUACUUUCUCUUUUACUUAGGUAGAAGGGUGGCCGUACCAGACUUUUUAUCCGUUUAAUCUCAACAGAAUUUCGUUACCUUUGGACCCGUAAAAUUCUGAUUAUUUGCCCAGAUGGAACAAUUUUAAGGUCCGUUAAUAAAACCUCUUUUUUUUUUUUUGGCAAACAUAUGAUAAAACAUUUUUUUCUUGUUAGCCGUAGUUUUAUCUGUCUGUUACGUUUUACAGGUGUAAGAAUAUAUAGAACUUUGGGUACCGGCGCCGCCGCCUCAUCGGCGGCGUAGGGGCUCAGCCAGCUGUAGGCGGCGGCGGCGUCCGAGGGCACUGGGUUAACCACUCAUUUUUAUCGCCGGGUCCUACUCUGUUUCCCUCCCCUUGUCUGAUUCAGUCCCAAAAAAAAAAUGAUUUUUCUUAAUAUAUUAAUUUUAAAAUAUAUAAUAAUAAUAAUAAUAAUCUUGGGAGGAUUGAGCUUAUAAAAAGAACUAUUUAAAUUUUAAAAUUGUGACACACGUAGAAAGGUAAUUAACAUACUAAAUGAAUUACUACGUACAACCUCCGCUACAAAAUAAACGAAUUUUUGAGUUUGUUUUUAAAAUAGAAUUUUUGACUCUUCGUCUUAUUUGAAUUUUUUUAUGAUUAAUAUUUUUAUUGGUACUGCAUGAUAUAAUUUACGUGUAACUAAUUUUUAUCAAUUUUUUAAUAAAUAUUUAAGACCCAUGGUCAAUCUGUCGAACUAGAAAUACUAGAAAUCUUUUUUUUUUACGGUGUAGUAAACCGUCUCAAACUCCUCCUCGUGAGGAUUGGGCUUAGGAGCGUUAUUCGUUUCCUCCUUUACUACAUCCAACAAAUCAAAAACAGAUUUUUCUCGGCGGUUUCGUGUUGAAGUGAGUACUAAAAAACCAGCAGCGGCUCCCGCGUCGCCGUCACGCGCGUUGCCCUCUGCUCGGGAGCCGGGCCCGUCCCGUCCCGUCCCGCGUGGACCCGGUGGGCCCGCGGUGUCAGGUGGGGUCGGUCGACGGCCACGUGUUCAACUGCUUCGCGUUUUUGGCGUCGUGUGUGAGCGCGGUGAAUUCUCGGGGUCACAGCUGGUGUAUUUUUUGUGGUGUUUCGUUGGGUUCCUUUUGACUUGCUACCCAAGGUUUGAUGGGGUGGGUUUCCUUUCCCCGCAAAUUCUGUGCUGUUUCCCUUCCUCAUAGUCCUACGUAUGGGUCCCACGCUGGACCAGGACUGGGCCCACCUGUCAGUUUUUUUUUCAUCCGAGUGGUAGUGUUAUUUAUUACUAGUAUAAUAAAUGAAUGAAUGAACGAAAUUAUUAUAUGCUUAUCUUUGGAGCCGAUUAAUACGUAAAAAAUGCUUGUUUGAAAAAGCCUGAUAGAAUAUUACCAUAGAGAUAAAAAAAAGAAACAAUUUUGACGUGGUUGUCCCGUACUGGUGGCGGUUGUAAAGUUUGCUCGGCUUUUGCGGGAGUAGCUUUGUGUGGCUGGGAGGUGGGCCCGUGUCAGGCCGACGUGGCUGCCGGCCAUUGGAUUCUCUGUCUGACCGCCGGGCCCACUACGGCGUGGCCGUCCUCGGCGGCGGACCACGUGCAUGGUGCAUCGUCGUGGCCGCCCCCGUCCUCUCCUGCAUCCGCAAAAAACAGAACCAAGCAGCACUGCUAAUUGCUUUCACAUUUAGAGCGUUGCUUCGCUUUUAACUUAGGCCUGUUUAGUUUCCAAAAGUUUUUCGUAAAAAAUAUCGCAUCCAAUUUUUUACAUCUAAAUAAAAUAUUAAAUAUACAUAAACAUUAAAAUUAAUUAUACAGUUACGAGAGAAAUCGUGAGAUAAAUCUUUUGAGUCUAAUCGGUACAUGAUUAGCUAUAAGUGUUACAGUAACCAAUAUAUGCUAAUGACGGAUUAAUUAGACUUAAAAGAUUCGUCUUUUUCAUGCGGAAUCUGAAAUUUGUUUUAUAAUUAGACAAUGUUUAAUACUUUAAAUGUGUAUCAAAAAUUUAAUAUGAUCUUUUUGUAAAAAAAAUUUUGCAAACUAAACACGACCUUACACUUAAUGGUCAAAUUUUGAAUUGUUAAUUUUAAACUUAAAGUUGAAUUUAUGGUUUCCAUUUUGUUUUAUUGUUUAGAAUUUUCUUUAAAUUGCUAGGAAACAUGUAACUAUUGGUUGCUUAGAUUUGGGUAGGGAGAAUUUUUUGGUAGAGCAAUGUUGGCAUUCUCCUUGAUGAUUGCAUGUUGUUGGAGUAGCUACUGUUACUUGAUUUGUUAUUUUCAAGUUUUCCCUUUCGGUUGUCAGAGCGUGGCCAGUCACGUGAUGUCCUUGUCAUCGUGAUUCCCCUCUCUCUCUCUCUCUCUCUCUCUCUCUCUCUCUCUCUCUCUCUCUCUCUCUGACAAACUCCCUGGGGACAGUAGUGAUGAGUCCCCCAACAAAGCAUGCUCCAUCUUCUUAAUGUUCAGUGAACGAUAGAGCAUCGGACAAGAUUAAGGUUUGGAUGUAUUUUGAAAUGCCACUAAACAACAAGUUCACGAGCAGUCCUUUUGCCCUGCUUGGCUCACCUUGUUUGAUUCGAUGCGGCCAUUCGAACCAUUCUUGAUCUUGAUUCUUGAAUGAAUGAAUGAAUGAAUGAGUGAUUCCCUUUUCUACUUCAGACCCGUGGUGCUCUUCAAUUUGGAUUUGUCGCUUGUCUUCUUUCUGUUACCAGUUACUAGUUACUACCAUGUGUUGCCACUGCAAGUCCUGUCUGUCUAUUUCUGAAUCUUGCAAAUUUUCUUGCGUUUGUUCUGAACCCAACUGAUGAUCCUCUCUCUCUUGAUGCUGUGCAGCGUUCGAAGUUCGCCGAUGACAUGAACCGUAACGAGGAAGGCGUGCUUAUGUUCGACCUCAACGAAUGCCUGGAUGAACAGCACUGGUCCUAAUGACGCGGGGAUUUUCUUUUUCUUUUUUUUCUGACAAAUCGGCGAUUCAUGGGGUCAGGAAUAAACCCAAGCCGUGUACAUAAAAAGAGGUGAAGCCAGCAAAGCAGUAGAGCAGUUGUCAAAAGCUGGAGGGCUUUGCCUUUCUUUCUAGAUUAUAAGGAUGGAUUGGAUAGAUGAUGAAGAAUCAAGCAGCUCUUGUUAGGUUGUUCCAUUGAAUUUGCCAGGCUAGUUUUUUAGUCAGAUUUGUUGUUCUUCGCACUGCUAGAUUGAUCAUGUUGGUAUAUUGCUUCUGGCUCGAUCACUGCCGCCCCGCUGCUGCCUCUGGGCCGUCGGAAAUUCAGACGGUGUAAGACAUCAGUUUUGAUCUUCAGUUCACUUAAAUGUGGAACUCAUACAGUGCAGGAACGAUAUUGCAUAAAUUUUGUUCUUUCUUUCCUUCUUUAGCUCAGUUUUUUUUUUCUUGUUAUGUUAUAUCUGUGGUGAUGGUUUCACUGGCCUGGCUGUACUGCUUUUUAGCUGCUGGUGCUUCUGUUCUUUGUUGAUGCUUAUACUGAAUGUUGCAGUAUUCAUGCCUC